rnacentral:RNase_P_RNA from 1 species
GCGAGUCGGCGGACGGGCCACGGGGAUCUCCUGGGGAAGUUCCUCCCUCGCAGCAGGACGCACGGCGCUGAGAAGCGCAGCCGGAGACGGCUGGCUCCAGAACAGAAACGAGACCCGCCCCACCAAGCGCGGUGACGGGGCGACCUUGAGGUCGGUGGGGACCGGGAUGAAACGGCUGACCCGUGCGGAGCAAGGCCGAACGUGGUCGAUGACACGCCUGCAGAAGACCAGGGUGGGCCGCUGAGCUGAAUCUCGUCUAGAACAGAAGGAGGACUACGGCCGACACAC